rnacentral:lncRNA from 1 species
UUUUGGAUCUUCACCUGCCUGAUUUAGACGGCUUCGAAGUAACCAUGAGAAUUCGGGAGUUUCGUAGCCGCAACUGGCCAUUGAUCGUUGGUUUUGCAUCCGCUGAUGAAGAUGUUAGUGGAAGAUGCCUGCAGAUUGGAAUGAAUGGAAUUAUUCGUAAGCCGGUGCUACUGCCUGGAAUUGCUGAUGAGCUUCAAAGGGUCCUUCUACAGGCAAGCAUAAUCACGUGAUGAUGUUAAGACUGCCUUAUAGUGGAGCAUAAUAAGGCAGGGCUUCAUUUAACAACCUAAUGCUAAGCAAACAAAAUUGCUUAGGACCAACCGCUGCCCACCCAUGAAGAUUCCAGCAGACAGAUGUUACAUACAAACAUUGAAAUCAAAUUGGUAUAGAAAAUAUAUCUUCUCUUUUCUUUACAUAAUCUUUAAGCUAUACAGGAUUUGGCCGCCAGGUGCGCGCCCUUUCAACAUUUUAUUGAGCUUAACAACUGAUCAGAAUUUAUCUAAGUUGUCCCUAAAACUGAAGUAGUUACGAAAUGACUCGAGAAUAGCUCCAUUCUAAGCUAUAAAGCACUAGAUUCAUGCAUUAAGAUUUGCUUUAGCAGAAAAUCUGUUGCCAAUUGAAAAUUUUGGGUGAAGAAUGUCCAAAUGGCUGAUUUGAAAUGUACCCUUAUCUGAUUAUGCAUUUACAGAUAUACUAAAAUAGUAAAACACUUCACAGAUGAGACUAUACAUACUUUUGGGACUUUAGUGAAGUAGGUUCUUGCACUUUUGCUUAUGUCUCUUUGGGUUAUGGACUUUUAGUUUCAUGACCUCGCAAAAUAUUAUCAGCUUUGUUGUUUGACAACAUUAUAUCCUCGUUGAUUUGAAGAAAAUGAAUGCUCCAUUGAUUGAAAGAAAUUGUGUUCACAAGAUGUAAAGUUGACGACAAUAAUUUAAUGAUGAACCCCUAUCUGUUUGUCUCCAACUUGGGUCUAGAGAGUGAUAGUCAGACUGGUGAUUUCUAUGUAGGAUCUGAUUUUGAUCUUUGUGUAUGCAUUAGGUGGUUAGGAGUCCCUUUGGUUUCAAGUCAUGAAUGAGCUUCUAUAAUGUUAAUUACAUUACAACAGAAGAAUUUGGCAACUCCAUUCAAACUCAUUGGAAAAGCUAUUCUAGAUGAAUAUGUGUAGUGCCUAAAUUUGGUUCCAAGAGAAUUGUCUCCUUGGACAUACCCGAAACACCAUAAGAAGCAUUGCCUUGUUAGAAUCACUACUAUAUAUCUUAUUAGAAGUAGAAGAGAAAAAUAAAAGGAUGGGGUGGAUAAGGGAACGGGCUAUACAUUUAAGUAGCUACCGAAACUUCCUAAUUCCUAUAGCAAGUACUAGAGGCAGAUGUAGCCUUGCGGCACCGGGUUUAUCUGAGCCAAUUAUUUUUGACGCGGAGUAUAAAUUUAUGUGUAAAUAAAGGCACUAGACAAUGUUCUAUGACCCGCCUGAUAGCAACUUGGUUCAGGAAUCUGGACUGCAUGUUUUAUCUUGGAUUAAAUUUUUAUUCAGGCUGUAUUGGUUUUAUGACUUAUGCUUGGUCCUUUUGCAUAUGGCUAUUUUUCAACUUCAUUAUCCUAGGCAUGGGCAUUUACAUGUAAGCCCAUUCCUCGUUUGUGUGUUUUAGGGGGGAAGGCCAUCAGAAGUGGGAAGGGUAUGGAAGAAUAAUAAAUUAAAUAGGUCAAAGAUGCCUUCAUGUUAUUUGUUUCUCUGAACCUAGUGACAAAAUUAGACACCAUGCAUGAACUUGAGUACGUACAUGCACUCCAUUUUUUGGCCAUUAUGUGUCUAUACACAGUCCUCUAUGAGCUCCUCCCCCCCCACCCCACCCCCUCAAAUCCCUUUUAUCUCCACUAGCCUACCUAUGAUAUUUUCCUUAGAUAUUUAAAAAGCUUUACUCCUCAUAUAGAAUAAACACCCACUUCUAGAAUAACAUUCCUCGGGAAGAUCGGUGUUAUAAUCCAUUACAAAUGUUCUUUUAGUUAUAAAAACAUUUUUUUCAUUGGGAGAUUGGUAAAAAAUAACGUAAGAGAUCGGUAAUUAAAACAUUGGAGAUCUUUGUAUGGUUACAUUCUUUUAUUCAAACAGUAAGUAGUCAUAAGGGAUCAUAUUUUCACUUCUUACAUCAUAAAUACAGCCUUCUGCCUUUAUUUUCUAGGUUGUAGCAUACUUGAACUUGCAUACUCAUAUUUCGAUUUACUUUCGAUCAGAGGCGGAGCUAAUAUUUAAAGUGUAUGAGUUCUAAAUUAUAAGAUAAGAUUAUGAUCUAAAACUAAUAUACAAUAACAAGCUGGCUAAAUAAUGAGUAUCGAUAUCUAAUACAUAUUAAAGGUAACGAACCAGACAAACACAAUAUAUGAAUAUAAACAUUAUCAUUUCAAUUGCACUCGACGACUUGUCAUGUUUUGAAAACGAUCAAUGAUCAUAUCAUUAGGUACACUUUCAAAUACUUCAUCUUCUAUAUAACAAACUAAAUAAUCAUUCAAAAAGUCAUCACCAAUUCUGCUUCGCAAGUCAUUUUUAAUAAACUUCAUUGAAGAAAAAGCCCUUUCGACUGUUGCAGUAGCCACAGGUAAUAUCAAACUUAGUUUCACAAGCAAAUAAACAAGUCCCCAUGUCUUAUGAAUAUUUGUUUUAACCAAUGUCUUCGAGAGAUCGCCAAGCCCUUUCAAGUUAGAGAAUGCAUUGUCCAUUUAUCGUACAUAGUCAAUAUAGUUGUCAAACUCAAAACUAAUAUCUUCAAGCUUGGAAGUAGUGGACUCAUUUUGAUAAUAUGUAGCAAGUUUCAUAAUCUUGUUUUUAUCAUAAUUUGCAAAAGAAUCAUCGGAACUCAAACUAGCCAUACCAAGAAGUAGAUCAGUAUUCACUUCACUAAAACGACUGUUAAGCUCCGAAAGUUACAAAUCAAUCGCGGCACAAAAAACUUCUACAUGCAAAUGAUGAGAAUAUGUAACAGUUGAGCUUUUACGCUUCGACUUUCUAAGACCAUACUUCUCAUCCAUUUUUGGGAUCACAAUACCAUUCUUAUCACAAAACGAAGAGACAUCUUCUAACAAAGAAUUCCAUUUAGAUUCCCUCAUUGUUUGCAAUUGCCUCUUUGUAAAAUGAACAAGUUUCAUAGCACUAACAAUAUCUUGAUCUUUUCUUUGCAGAGCCAUAUUCAAAUUAUAUGUAAUUGCCAUUAUUUUUAACAUCAAAUGUAUAUAUACACAAACUCAUAAGAUCUUAUAUCUUCCGCUAGAUUUUUUGCCAGUACUUUCUCCUGAUAAUUUAAACCCUCAUUUGCAAGAACUCCAAGUACAUGAACAAUUGAUGAGAAUAAAGAAAUAAAGUUACGCAAUGUCUUAAAGUGAGAUCCCCAACGGGUAUCACCUGGUCUUUGAAGCCCAAGUUCUUGAUUUAAUCCACUUCCUAUAUGAACUUCACCAAACACUAAUAACUCAUCUAAUUUUUCAGUUUGAUCAUCUCUAAGCAUCUCCCUAUGCUUAUAAGAACCUCCAACAACAUUCAAAAUAUUAGCAAGAAUGUCAAAAAAAUUAUUUAUAUCAUGGUGUUUCUUUGUGACAGCUACAAGAGUCAAUUUCAAUUGAUGAGCAAAGCAAUGUACGCAAUAUGCCGAAGGAUUAUCUUUCAGAAUCAAAGCUUUAAGACCAUCGAUUUCUCCUUGCAUGGUACUAGCUCCAUCAUACCCUUGUCCCCGUAUUAAAGAUGAACGCAAUGAAUGUUAUAAAAGCAAAGAAUUUAUUGCUUUUUGUAAUGCAUGUGCAGUUGUAUCUUUAACAUGAACAAGACCAAGGAAUCGCUCAAUAAGUUCACCCUCCUUGUUGACAUAACGCAAAACAAGAGCCAUUUGUUCCUUAUGAGAGACAUCUUUAGACUCAUCAACUAGUAUCCCAAAAAAAUCCCCAUUCAAGUCUUCAAUAAUUGCUUUCGCUAUUUUUUUUGCACAAGAAUUCACAAUAUUUUUCUGAAUAUCAGGACAAGUCAUGGUGUUAUUUUUUGGAGCUUUUUCUAAUAUCAUAUUUUUCACAUCUUCCUUCCUAUCUGCAUACCAUUUUAAGAGAUCUAAAAAAAGGCUUCUUCUUGUAGAAAUUACACUCUCAUCAUGGCCCCAAAAAGACAUUCCUUCUUUCAAAAGAUACCUUAUCACAUCAAUUGAAGCAUUCAAGCGAACUCGAUGUUCCCUUUUAGUUUUCUCAGAUUGCUUGUACAAAUAUGUUAGAAUAGAUUGUGCUUGAUUCAUUAAAUCUAGCAUCAUCUUGAAACAUUGAUUAUGAACACUAUUCACGUCACCCAUAUGUGAUUUAAGCCUUUUUAAACCUUUAUUCCAACCUCUAAAAUCAUCUGUUGUGAAAGUAUCACCUACUUUUUUUCCAUAUCCUCCAACCUCAUUUUUAAACAAGUAACAACAUAAAUAAAAUGUUGCAUCUUAUUUAAUGCUAUAUUAUAACCAUUGAGAACAUGAAGUUUUAAACUAUUCAGGAUUAAACUGAUGUAUUAUUCCUCCAAAAUCUCUUUUUGGAAAGACAAAACCACGAGGUUGAUAAGGUCCAUUUUGUAUAUAAUUUUUCCUUACUCUGUCACGUAAAUUAGGUGGAUAUGCUGAAAUUGGUUUUCUUUCAGCGAGAUCGGGCUCAUAAUCUAACACUUUAUUCGAUGCUUGGGAAGGAUUAAUAUUGUUACUAAUAAUUGGACAUAGAGAACUUGACAAAGGAGAGCUAGAAGAAGCUGCAGAAGCUUGAGCUUUGUAAAAACUCGUGAUCAUAUCGACUUUUGCUAGAAGACCCUAAAAAUGACAAAACACAAAUUAAACUUCAAGUUGUAUGUUUCACAAUGCUAUAAAAAAUCUAUUCUUUAUCUUCUUUGACAUAGUUCAAUUUGUAAACUUAGUCUAGCUAGCUAGUAUAUAUAGUAAAGUCAAUUCAAUUUAUUCAUCUCACAAAGAGACCCACUUUAUAAAAAGAUUAAAAGAAAAAACUGAACCAACAUUGGAAGCAUUCAAAGUGUUAAAAAGCCACUACAUAUGAAAGUUUGCUUCUUUCUGAGUAGUAUCCAUGAGAAUGCAAGUUGGUCUCACUAAGAAACUAAAAAUAAGAAAGUAGGACCACAUACCUUGUCUGUCGAUUUGUCGGAGAAUUCAAGUUUGAACUUUUGAAAAGUACAAAAGCACAAAUUGACAAAGAGAAUGAAGUUCAAAAUGUGGGACAACCCUAGAAUCAAAGAUUAAAAAUCAGAUUUUGUAUAAAUUGUCAAAUAUAAAAUAUAAGAGGAAAACAUGAAGAAAAAAAUCAGGAAAGAAGAAUUGAAGAAGGAAGAAGGGUCUAACUUCUAAGGGAGAAAGAGCAUACACUGAUACACAGUGAGAGUUUGAGGGCAUCCGGCUCCGACAGAUGGUGGUAGCAGUGAUCAAAAGACUGACAGAGGCAGAACCCUAGCUUUUUUGAUUUGGGAAUUGAAAAGACGAGAAGGCGUGUUGGCUGUUUUUGUUUAAAAAGAUUUGUUUAUU